UGCAAGUCGAGCGGGGAAAGGUAGCUUGCUACCUAACCUAGCGGCGGACGGGUGAGUAAUGCUUAGGAAUCUGCCUAUUAGUGGGGGACAACAUUCCGAAAGGAAUGCUAAUACCGCAUACGCCCUACGGGGGAAAGCAGGGGAUCUUCGGACCUUGCGCUAAUAGAUGAGCCUAAGUCAGAUUAGCUAGUUGGUGGGGUAAAGGCCUACCAAGGCGACGAUCUGUAGCGGGUCUGAGAGGAUGAUCCGCCACACUGGGACUGAGACACGGCCCAGACUCCUACGGGAGGCAGCAGUGGGGAAUAUUGGACAAUGGGCGAAAGCCUGAUCCAGCCAUGCCGCGUGUGUGAAGAAGGCCUUUUGGUUGUAAAGCACUUUAAGCGAGGAGGAGGCUACUUAGAUUAAUACUCUAGGAUAGUGGACGUUACUCGCAGAAUAAGCACCGGCUAACUCUGUGCCAGCAGCCGCGGUAAUACAGAGGGUGCGAGCGUUAAUCGGAUUUACUGGGCGUAAAGCGUGCGUAGGCGGCUUCUUAAGUCGGAUGUGAAAUCCCUGAGCUUAACUUAGGAAUUGCAUUCGAUACUGGGAAGCUAGAGUAUGGGAGAGGAUGGUAGAAUUCCAGGUGUAGCGGUGAAAUGCGUAGAGAUCUGGAGGAAUACCGAUGGCGAAGGCAGCCAUCUGGCCUAAUACUGACGCUGAGGUACGAAAGCAUGGGGAGCAAACAGGAUUAGAUACCCUGGUAGUCCAUGCCGUAAACGAUGUCUACUAGCCGUUGGGGCCUUUGAGGCUUUAGUGGCGCAGCUAACGCGAUAAGUAGACCGCCUGGGGAGUACGGUCGCAAGACUAAAACUCAAAUGAAUUGACGGGGGCCCGCACAAGCGGUGGAGCAUGUGGUUUAAUUCGAUGCAACGCGAAGAACCUUACCUGGUCUUGACAUAGUAAGAACUUUCCAGAGAUGGAUUGGUGCCUUCGGGAACUUACAUACAGGUGCUGCAUGGCUGUCGUCAGCUCGUGUCGUGAGAUGUUGGGGUUAAGUCCCGCAACGAGCGCAACCCUUUUCCUUAUUUGCCAGCGGGG
rnacentral:rRNA from 1 species